UACGAAAGGUGCGAGCGUUAAUCGGAAUUACUGGGCGUAAAGCGUGCGUAGGCGGCCUUUUAAGUCGGAUGUGAAAGCCCCGGGCUCAACCUGGGAGGGUCAUCUGAUACUGAGAGGCUAGAGUGUGGUAGAGGGAGGUGGAAUUUCCGGUGUAGCGGUGAAAUGCGUAGAGAUCGGAAGGAACACCAGUGGCGAAGGCGGCCUCCUGGACCAACACUGACGCUGAGGUACGAAAGCGUGGGGAUCAAACAGG
rnacentral:rRNA from 1 species